rnacentral:rRNA from 1 species
GAUCAACUGUGAAUAUGUGUGAAUAGUAGGGAUGGCUUGGUGGUCAAAUCCUUGGCCUCCUUUGUGCCGGGAGUGGGUGGCAGGUUGUGUGCUCCCUUCCCAGCAAACCCAAACCCCGGCACAGAAUGUGCCAAGGAACCAAAAUUAUUCCACUGCCCCCCCGUUGGCACCGGAGACGGUGCCCUCGCGGGACGUGUGAUGCAUGAUAAUAUAUAAACGAUUAUCGGCAACGGAUAUGUAGGCUCUUGCAUCGAUGAAGAAAGUAGAGAAAUGUGAUACUUGGUGUGAAUUGCAGAAUCCCGUGAACCAUGGAGUUUUUGAACGCAAGUUGCGCCCAAAGCCAUUAGGUGGAGGGCUCGUCUGCGUGGGCGUCACAUAUUGUUGCCCUGUGCCCCAUGCUUAUUGAUAGGCACCGUGCAGGGCGAAUGUUUCUUUAUCAUUUAGAGGAAGGGAAGUCGUAACAAGGUUUCCUAGGUGAACAGGGAAGGAUCAUAGAGGAUGGUUCAGGGAUCCACGAGACCGGUCAUGUGCAGCUCUACUAGAUUUGGCCUCUAUGACCCACUUGCGUCCUUGGAUGCUCAUGA